GACGAACGCUGGCGGCGUGCCUAAUACAUGCAAGUCGAGCGCAGGAAAUCAUCCGAACCCUUCGGGGGGACGUUGAUGGAAUGAGCGGCGGACGGGUGAGUAACACGUAAAGAACCUGCCCUCAGGUCUGGGAUAACCACGAGAAAUCGGGGCUAAUACCGGAUGGGUCAUCGGACCGCAUGGUCCGAGGAUGAAAGGCGCUUCGGCGUCGCCUGGGGAUGGCUUUGCGGUGCAUUAGCUAGUUGGUGGGGUAAUGGCCCACCAAGGCGACGAUGCAGAGCCGACCUGAGAGGGUGAUCGGCCACACUGGGACGGAGACACGGCCCAGACUCCUACGGGAGGCAGCAGUAGGGAAUCUUCCACAAUGGACGAAAGUCUGAUGGAGCAACGCCGCGUGAACGAUGAAGACCUUCGGGUCGUAAAGUUCUGUUGUAAGGGAAGAACAAGUGCCGCAGGCAAUGGCGGCACCUUGACGGUACCUUGCGAGAAAGCCACGGCUAACUACGUGCCAGCAGCCGCAGUAA
rnacentral:rRNA from 1 species